AGAGAGAGACAUGCGCGCAUAUCAAUAAGCGGAGGAAAAGAAACUAACUAAGGAUUCCCCUCAGUAACGGCGAGUGAAGCGGGAAGAGCUCAAAUUUGAAAUCUUCAAGGUUCUACCUUGACGAAUUGUAGUUUAAAGAAGUGUUUUCUGUUGGAGUUUUGGUAAAAGUUCUUUGGAAUAGGACAUCAUAGAGGGUGAGAAUCCCGUAUUUGACCAUUAUUUCCAGCUUUGUGAUACACUUUCAAAGAGUCGGAUUGUUUGGGAAUGCAGUCCAAAAUGGGUGGUAAAUUUCCAUCUAAAGCUAAAUAUUGGCGAGAGACCGAUAGCGAACAAGUACCGUGAGGGAAAGAUGAAAAGAACUUUGAAAAGAGAGUUAAACAGUACGUGAAAUUGUCAAAAGGGAAGCGUUUGACACCAGUGUUGUUUUCUCGAAAAUCAAUUAAAAAAGGCAGGAUUUUGUGUUGUAUUGACUUUAUCAGCUUUCUCGCACUCUUUUCUUGUCUUUUUUAAUGCACUUUUCGUUUAACAAGUCAACAUCAAUUUCUUUUGUUGUAAAAGGGUCAUUGGAAGGUGGCUUUCUUUUCGGAGAAAGUGUUUAUAGCCUUUGGCCUCUGCAAUCGGAGAGAUUGAGGUCUGCAGCGUAGAUCCUUCGGGGUUAGAUACAUUUGUGCUAAGUUAUAGCCUUUCAUAGACAACUUGUUGACUAUGAUCAGUCAUGUAGCUUACUCGCUUAUGCUAUUUUACCUACGCUUAGGAUGUUGAUGUGAUACUGCGAGCA
rnacentral:rRNA from 1 species